rnacentral:rRNA from 1 species
CAACUUCCCCCAACGGAUCUCUUGGCUCUCGCAUCGAUGAAGAACGCAGCGAAAUGCGAUACGUAAUGUGAAUUGCAGAAUUCAGUGAAUCAUCGAAUCUUUGAACGCACAUUGCACUCUCUGGUAUUCCGGAGAGUAUGCUUGUUUGAGUAUCUGUA